rnacentral:rRNA from 1 species
AUACGGAGGGUGCAAGCGUUAUCCGGAAUCAUUGGGUUUAAAGGGUCCGUAGGCGGAUAAUUAAGUCAGAGGUGAAAUCCCACAGCUUAACUGUGGCACUGCCUUUGAUACUGGUUAUCUCGAGUUACAGGGAAGUAGAUAGAAUAUGUAGUGUAGCGGUGAAAUGCAUAGAUAUUACAUAGAAUACCGAUUGCGAAGGCAGUCUACUAUCUGUAUACUGACGCUAAUGGACGAAAGCGUGGGGAGCGAACAGGAUUAGAAACCCCUGUAGUCC